GGAGAGAUGGCCGAGCUGGCUGAAGGCGCUCGCCUGCUAAGCGAGUGUGCGGUGUUAAGCUGCACCGAGGGUUCGAAUCCCUCUCUCUCCGCCA
rnacentral:tRNA from 1 species